rnacentral:rRNA from 1 species
GAUGAACGCUGGCGGCGUGCCUAAUACAUGCAAGUCGAACGCUGAAGGAGGAGCUUGCUCUUCUGGAUGAGUUGCGAACGGGUGAGUAACGCGUAGGUAACCUGCCUGGUAGCGGGGGAUAACUAUUGGAAACGAUAGCUAAUACCGCAUGACAACAGUUAUUGCAUGAUAACUGUUUAAAAGGGGCAACUGCUCCACUACCAGAUGGACCUGCGUUGUAUUAGCUAGUUGGUGAGGUAACGGCUCACCAAGGCGACGAUACAUAGCCGACCUGAGAGGGUGAUCGGCCACACUGGGACUGAGACACGGCCCAGACUCCUACGGGAGGCAGCAGUAGGGAAUCUUCGGCAAUGGACGGAAGUCUGACCGAGCAACGCCGCGGGAGUGAAGAAGGGUUUCGGAUCGUAAAGCUCUGUUGUAAGAGAAGAACGAGUGUGAGAGUGGAAAGUUCACACUGUGACGGUAGCUUACCAGAAAGGGACGGCUAACUACGUG